AAUGCACCAAUUUGUAAGCCGCUCUGGAUAAGAGCGUCUGCUAAAUGACGUAAA
rfam:Salmo salar isolate Sally breed double haploid chromosome ssa14, whole genome shotgun sequence.